rnacentral:rRNA from 1 species
AUGAGCGAUGCCUCGAGGAGGUGCGUCCUCCAGAGCACCUGGUCCAUGGGGCUGACGUUGCCGAUCUUGUGGCCCCUGUUCUGGAUCCUGACGAUGGCGGCGACGCUGGACAUGAGGAUGACGGAGAGCGUGCAGGCGAGCGUCUUGACGGUGGCGGGGCCCUUGCCGGUCUUGACCUGCUCCACGCCCCGCAUCGCCAGCUCCCGCAGCGGCCCGAUCUUGACCAUGAGCAGCAGCGCCACCGCCCCCUCCGCGAACAGCACCAGGAACAGCAGCGGGAUCAUGGCCCCGUUUUCUUUACCUUUCCGACCGACCGGAUGUCAGGUCUCCUUGGAUUCCGCCCGGGAACUUAAGAAGGGGCGGGGCUUUUCAGCGGGACAACAACCACGGCGCGAGGAUUAA